UUUUUAUUAUAAAUAUAAUACUUAACAGAAUAGACAGUAGUAACUAGUAGAAGUUGUAAAGGAAGUUCAAGGCGGGUUUGCGUGCCCUUAUAUUUAGACACUUGCAUAGCAUGUUGUUGCAGUUUUAUCGUGAUAGGCUCAGCAAGGCAAAAGUGGUUUAAUUAAUUAUAAUUAUAAUUGAUAAUAUAAGGGUGCUAUAAGUGCAAAACCAAAAAAUUGUUCAUUUAUUUUAUUUAUUAUAGUCAAGAAGGAGGAGUUGCAUGGGUCUUUUUGUAUCAUGCUGUACUUAUAUUCACUGUAUUCAGUAUAAUUAUUAUAGAGAGUUGUAAUAAUAAUAUAAUACAUUUAAUAUGUACUUACAUAAUUUUUAAAACAAUAUUUCCUCUCAUGCUAGUUUAAGGGCUUGAAAUAUGUAUCUUUCUACUAUCCGAAGUCGAUCCAUAGUGAAUUGGACGGGUCUCCUCCUUAUCUUCAUUCUAAUCGUUCUCUUUUAUACUGUAUGGCUUAAUAGAAAUAGUACUACCAUUGAUAGAGAUCAUUUUGUACCAGAGAUCUCAAGAGCUCAAGUCAAGGAGGAUUCAAUUAAAGUAUUAGAAAAAGGGAUUGCAUUUGAUAAUGUCCAUAGAUUUAAUCCAUCCUUUAGUUGUCAAGACAAAUACCCUUUUACUCGUAGGGAGCAAAGAGGGAAAUACUGGGUCCUUUAUAAUUAUGUUCGUCCAUCUAAUAAAAACUAUACUUGUGAUGAGAGUAUUACGUAUACUACCCAUGGAGACUUUACAUUUAAUGAUAAUUUAGUUCCACUAUUAAAAAGAUGGAAUGGACCAGUCUCUAUGGCCCUUUAUGCUCCUGGAUGGGACUUUUAUAGUUCUCUCAAGUCCAUUUAUUAUUAUCAAAACUGUGUUAAUUCCUCUUUAGUUAAAGACUUUCUUACGUUUCAUCUAUUUUUUGACAAUAAUCAUUUACCAUCUUUUCGAAAUGAAGAGGGAUCAAAUGAAGUGCAACCUCCUCCUCCUAUCCAGGAUUUUGAAUCAGAGACUACAAAUUAUAACUGCAAAUCUAUCCUCAAAGACAUUCUACAGUCCAAUCAAACUUUAUAUAAACAAAAAAAUAAAUUGGAUUAUCCAGUGAAUGUGGGUAGAAACAUUGCUCGACAAGAGGCAACUACUCAUUUUAUAUUCCCUUCUGAUGUUGAGCUCUAUCCCUCACCUGAUCUUAUCCCUGCUUUUCUGUCCAUGAUAAGGGAAAACACAGAUCCUGCUCUAAGUAGACCUAAUCCUAGAGUUUUUGUUAACUCAAUCUUCGAAGUCCAGAAAAACAUUAAGAAAAUGCCAGGAACAAAGGUGGAACUCUUAAAUGCUCUGGAGACUGGAGAUGCCAUUCCUUUUCAUCAAAAGGUGUGUCCCCUUUGUCAUAACAUCCCUAAUUCUAAGGAGUGGAAAAAUGAAUCCGUUAUUGAAGAUAAAAUGAAAAUAUUUCAUACGGCGAAACGGGUUAGUCCAUUCCAACAUUGGGAGCCCAUAUAUAUAGGAACAAACGAAGAGCCUCUCUAUGAUGAAAGACUGAGUUGGGAAGGACGUUCCGAUAAAAUGACACAGGGCUAUCAACUUUGUUUAAAGAACUAUGAUUUCCAUAUACUAAACAACGCAUUUCUAAUUCAUCGUCCUGGAAUAAAAUCUCAAAACAAACCAAGUAAGAAGCAACUUAAUCAAGUGAGUCGUCAAAACCAUUUCAUUCGUAAUAACAUCUCUAAAGAAAUUGAUCUUCUGUAUGGUCAACGAGAGGGCUGCCGUUUGUAUUAAUGGUGGAUAAACUCACAUGUGAUAAUAAUUUUAAAAUUUAAUACAAAUUCCAAUUUGAAUCCUUGAAGUAUUCAAAUGCACAUACGAUGUGCUAUGUUACGAAGUCAGUUACAAUUAUUAUUAGUCAAAUUACGGGGUUUUUUGUAACCUUAUGGCUUGUGAAGAAUGCGUUUUCUUACGACUAUGUAUUUUUUUUUUUUUGUAAUAAAAUCAUUAUGUAUUAAAUACAAAUAAGAUUUUUUAACGGUU
rnacentral:misc_RNA from 1 species